rnacentral:lncRNA from 1 species
CCAUAUCUUACGAACGGCUUAAUUUGGUGUCUCAAGUUUCAACGGCCACUAAGAGCUAUUCCAACGGGCGGGCCGAGCCCGAGGCGAGGGAGAAAAAAAAAAAAAAAAAAAAAUCGCUUCACCACUUAGCCCAAGCCCGGGGGGCUUGUGGGACCCACCAAUUAGAGCCAGCCCGAAGGCGAGACGAGUCCGAGCUUUAGCCCGCGGGCACUGACGUCAGUGCUGGCGUCGCACUGACGUCAGUGCUGGCGUCGCACUGACGUCAGCGGGCGCGUUCAAAUUUUUUUUACCGUUGGCUCGUGCAAUGCACGCACCAACGGUAAAAAAAAUUUGAACCAGCACGCGCUGACGUCAGUGCGACGCCAGCUCCAACGGAAAGUUGCCACGUGUCGCGCCCCCAGCCCUCCGAUCAGCAUAUCUGAAUCCAAUCCUACAGCUGAGGCUUUUUUGGGCAAAAAAAAUCGGAAAUUUUUUUUAAAAAUUCUAAAAAUUUCAGAUUUUUUUUAUAUUUAUAAAUACCUAUCAAUACCCUUCACUUUGAACACCAAUCCUCAUACAUUUCAUUAUAUUUCUACUAUUAUUCACUCUUUACUCAACAUUUUCCUCUUUUUCAUCUUGUAUUUUGAUUUCAUAUUUUUAUGGCUUCUUCUAUCGAAACCGGAGGGGCUUGCAGCACCAUGGAAGAUGUUUCCUUGUGUGAGGCUUGGCCCCAAAUAUGUCAUUGCCCGUGUCGGGCAAUGAGAUGAAAUUUUUUCAUAUGUGGAAAAAAAUUCAUGCCGAAGUUUGUGAAAAAAUUCCGGGGUCUACUCGUACGGAGAUGACAUUAUCCAGUAGGUGAAAAAUUCUCAAUAAAGAGUUGGGAAAAUGGAGAGCUGCCCUAGCAAAAGCGAUGGACAACUAUAGAAGCGGGAAAAAUCGUACUAACGAGGUAAGUAUUUUAUAAUUUUUGUUUUAUUAAGUUUAAUCUCCUAAUAUAUAUAUUUUGUUAAUAUUGCUUGCAUUUUCAAUAUUUUGUUAAUAUUUCUUGCAUUUUAAAUAUUUUGUUCAUAUUUCUUGCAAUAUCAAUAUGUUGUUAAUAUUUCUUGCAUUUUAAAUAUUUUGUUCAUAUUUCUUGCAUUAUCAAUAUUUUGUUAAUAUUUCUUCCAUUUUAAAUAUUUUGUUCAUAUUUCUUGCAUUUUAAAUAUUUUGUUCAUAUUUCUUGCAUUUCCAUUUUUUUGUUAAAUAGAUGAUUCAAGCACAAAUGUGGUUCGGUGCAACAGGGGGUGGCAAAAAAAGUUUCAACCAUCAUGAAUGUUGGGAGGUGGUGAAAUAUUGCAAACGCUUCAUAAUUAUUCCGACGGGUCCCGCCGGUGUGUUAAACGAGAUGCCACUCCGUGAUUCAAUGACAUUGGAUUCACCUCUCGAUUCUCCUAUGAGUGAAGACUCACCCAUUGAAAAGGAGCCGAGGCCCAUUGGUCGAAAGGCGCGAAGGCAAAGAAAGCGGGUAAUUCAAGCAAUAAUAAUUCAAAAUUUUUGGAGGAAAUUGCAAGGCAAAACAGCAUAAGAAUAGAAAUGGAGCAAAAUGCCAAGAUAACGAGUUGGCCCUUCAAGCUGAGUAUGCACGAGAAAGGGAGUAUUUGCGCAAAAAAGAUAUGGACAAGACGGAUCGGGAAACCAUGACGAUGGAUACAAGUCAUAUGUCCCCUAAAACAAAACAAUUUUGGAAGCUAGAACGAAGGGAUGUUAUGAGAAGAAGACUUUUCCGGGAUGAUGGGCCUAGCAACACGGAUUGGUUAAAUGAUGGAAACCAUUAAAUUAGUUAGCAUACCUUUUAUGUAUUUGUAUUUUUUAUGUUUUCUAUUAAAGUUGUUGUAAUUCAUGUAUUUUAUUUUA